GAUGAACGCUGGCGGCGUGCCUAAUACAUGCAAGUCGAGCGAACAGACGAGGAGCUUGCUCCUCUGACGUUAGCGGCGGACGGGUGAGUAACACGUGGAUAACCUACCUAUAAGACUGGGAUAACUUCGGGAAACCGGAGCUAAUACCGGAUAAUAUAUUUAACCGCAUGGUUCAAUAGUGAAAUACGGUUUUGCUUUCACUUAUAGAUGGUUCCGCGCCUCAUUAGCUAGUUGGUAAGGUAACGGCUUACCAAGGCAACGAUGCGUAGCCGACCUGAGAGGGUGAUCGGCCACACUGGAACUGAGACACGGUCCAGACUCCUACGGGAGGCAGCAGUAGGGAAUGUUCCGCAAUGGGCGAAAGCAUGACGGAGCAACGCCGCGUGAGUGAUGAAGGUCUUCGGAUCGUAAAACUCUGUUAUUAGGGAAGAACAAAUGUGUAAGUAACUAUGAACGUAUUGACGGUACCUAAUCAGAAAGCCACGGCUAACUACGUG
rnacentral:rRNA from 1 species